rnacentral:rRNA from 1 species
UACAGAGGUCUCAAGCGUUGUUCGGAUUCAUUGGGCGUAAAGGGUGUGUAGGUGGCGCCGUAAGUCGGGUGUGAAAUUUCGGAGCUUAACUCCAGAACUGCCUUUGAUACUGAGAAGCUUGAGUUCGGGAGAGGUGAGUGGAACUGCGAGUGUAGAGGUGAAAUUCGUAGAUAUUCGCAAGAACACCAGUGGCGAAGGCGGCUCACUGGCCCGAUACUGACGCUGAGGUGCGAAAGCGUGGGGAGCAAACAGG